CCCUGCGCAGGGUUGAGUCACAAUGUCCAGGUCACCGCCCUACCCCACACGGAUUGGAGUCACCCAGCCUAGAGGCCUCAGGGUUUGAAAGGACCCCAUGCCAGUGAGGUACAUCCAGCUGACUCAGGCUGCCCAGCUACCGAGUACACUCUUCAGCCCUCCCAGAAAGCAGUAGUCACUACAGCUUGGACAGAUGAUGGUUGGCAAUUACUGCUCCUUCGUGUGGAUCUUAUUGCCCCUCCUUUUGACCCUGAGGGAAUUCAAGCCUGGUGACCUUGCCUUAGCCAGAGCAUUACUAUUGCAUGGGUAUAUAACUGUAAACCUCAGAGACUUGGAAGGAUGAGACAGAAGAGAAAAGAUA